AUGAACGCUGGCGGCGUGCCUAAUACAUGCAAGUCGAGCGAACAGACGAGGAGCUUGCUCCUCUGACGUUAGCGGCGGACGGGUGAGUAACACGUGGAUAACCUACCUAUAAGACUGGGAUAACUUCGGGAAACCGGAGCUAAUACCGGAUAAUAUAUUGAACCGCAUGGUUCAAUAGUGAAAGACGGUUUUGCUGUCACUUAUAGAUGGAUCCGCGCCGCAUUAGCUAGUUGGUAAGGUAACGGCUUACCAAGGCGACGAUGCGUAGCCGACCUGAGAGGGUGAUCGGCCACACUGGAACUGAGACACGGUCCAGACUCCUACGGGAGGCAGCAGUAGGGAAUCUUCCGCAAUGGGCGAAGGCUUGACGGAGCAACGCCGCGUGAGUGAUGAAGGUCUUCGGAUCGUAAAACUCUGUUAUUAGGGAAGAACAAAUGUGUAAGUAACUAUGCACGUCUUGACGGUACCUAAUCAGAAAGCCACGGCUAACUACGUG
rnacentral:rRNA from 1 species